rnacentral:lncRNA from 1 species
AAAAUAUUAGCAUUAUCGGAGUUGCGGCCGACGAGAACAAGGCUGAGAGGCAUGCAGCGGUGAGGCGAAAGGUGAAGGUGCGGCAAAUUCGAAAGCGCUCGUGACGACGGCCCACACGAGCAUGACGAUCGGAUCAUCAUUGACGACAAUGACGAAGACGAAGGAGGAGGAAGAAAUGGAGGAUAUGAUGAAGAAAAGGAAGAAGAAGAAGAAAAAGAGAAAGACGAAGAAGAAGAAUGACAAAAUUGUCAAUUCAUAUUAUUAAUUAAUCAUAGUUAAGUAUUUUAAUUGUGGUUAACUAGAUUUCUCUAACGAAUCCCAACGAUAGGGACAUAUCUGAAUACAUUAGGACUUUUAUAGGGAUAACUUAUAAAAGUUAAGCUUUGUAGGAAUAUAUCUGCUAUUCACCUAUUUGUAGGGACCUGUACAAAAUUAACCCUAUAUAUAUUUAUCCAUAUAUAAACGUAUAGUAAAUAUUUUGCAAAAUACAAACCCUCUCUUUUUUCAUAUA